GCCUCUCAGCCACCAGUCACCUCUUCCCCCCACCCCCUGACCUCCCACUUCUCUUCUCAAUCUAACUGCUCUUCAGGAUUUCUGGUUGCACUACCUCUGGAGACAAGACUCUAGCACUUGUUCUUUACAGUAAUUUCAUUGGAUUGAGGAUACUUGUUUGCACAGGAGGCAAGAAUGCAUUGUUCCAUUUUUGAAUUCCACACAUCUAAUACGGAGCCUGAGGCACAGGGCUCAAAAUGUUAAAUAAACAAAUGAACGGGAAAUUAAUAAGUAGAAUGCAUUGGCAAGACUGUGAAGCAUAUACACAAUAGCAAAGACACGGAAUCAAGCUAAAUGCCCAUCAGUGAUAAAAAAAAUGUGGUACAUUUACACCAUGGAAUAUGAUACAGCCAUAAAAAGCAAUGAGAUCAUUCCUUUGUGGGGACAUGGAUGGAACUGGAAGCCAUUAUCCUCAGCAAAUUAACACAGGAACAGAAAACCAAAUACUGCAUAUUCUUACUUAAGGCCUGCCAUGGGAAGCUUUGGGAAGAAGCCAGCUGCCAUGUUGUGAGAACUCUCAAGCAGCCGUGUGGAGAGAUCCAUGUGGUGAGGAACUGAAGCCUCCUACUAACUAUCAAGUCAGUGGCUCACUAUUGUUGCAGUGAAUUCUCCAGCCCAUGAAGACUUUAGAUGAUUUACCCAACAUCUUGAUUAUAGCCUCAUGGAUUCCCUGAGCCAGAACAACCCAGCUAAACCUCUCCUGAAUUCUUUACCUACAGAAACUGUGAGAUAAUAAAUAUUUAUUCUU